GGCUACGACGUGCGAGGAGAAAAGCUGACGUGCAGCCUCCAUACCUUGAUAGCAGUUAUCCACCCAACAACUGGGCUGGGGAGCAGUCGUGUCUACAUUGCCUAAAUGAAGAAACUGUGACUCAGAGAGGCUAAGUAAAAUGCCCAGUGCUGUACAACUUCAGGCAGUGAGAUUCACACUUGGAUUUGUGUGGCUCCAAAAUCUCAAUUCCUUCUGGGACAAUAAAACAAAGGAGAAGAAGAGAGAGCGAUGGUGCAUCUUGAUGGCCAGGUGAAAAUGGAGCACUGCUAAGCAAGCCCCAAGGAAACGUACAACCCUCCACAGGAAGUUUUAUUAUCCGCUUCUGAGGAAAUGCUGGUGCGUUUCCUUGAACAAGGUGAACUCUUCUGUUGCCACUAAGAAAUGCUCCUUGUGUGUUUCUUGUUGGAAGACUGGGCUAAGAUUCCUCCUGAGGUAGCCACAAAGAUCAGACAUAUCUUCUCCCAGAACUCCAGAAGCUGGCCUGAGGUGAGGAAAUAAAUGCUUAGAGAAGUACUGUAUGUUCCCAAACACGGAAUAUGUACGUGACGGAAUGGAAACUGGGAUCCAGAUCUCAAUGAUGUGGCUUCGUAUCUUAUCUUUUCCCAGUGAAUACGAACCUCUUAAUGUUGCUGGACUCCCUUUCUAAUCAGAAAGAUGUGAGUGUCUACCUUGAACAGUACGGCAGGGUCAGAGUUGCAAAGGAGAAUGAGACAGAUGAAAUCUUUGUCCCUCUGGAGCUGGUAUCACCUGGUUCCUGAAUCACUGUCCUGAAUUCCAUGGGAAACACAGAUUCUUUUGCACUCAAGACUGGUGAAGAAUAGUUAAGGCCGCACAGCUCUUAAAUGAGGAUGGAUUUCACCAUAGAUCUGAGGCACCAUCUGUGUUCUUAAACACUAUGCUCAAUAAAUUCUGGCUGAUACAAGAGAUUGUUGCAGCACCAUAAAUUAAGGAAAUAAAGGAGGCCACCUACACUAAGGGCUGAUGAGAUAUUGAAAAACAACAGUUUCGAUAUCUUAUGAAAGACAGCGUGGCUACAACGAUCACAGGAGAACUAUUUUCCUCCUCAAAUUGAAGAAGCACAACAUAUGGUGAGGUCUAAAGUGCCAGGGGAGUGAGGAAGUGAAGUGCAGCGGUUCUCAAGGCACACGCGCAGGGAGGAAACAUGAUUAUAGCAGAGCUAAGCAAAUGGAGGAAAGGUCAAAGCCAGUCAUCUCUGUGGAGGAAGUGGGGGCAGUGGGAGGCCAGAAGGAUGCACGGAUGAAGAGAAAUAAACAACGCUCUGAUUUCUUCCUCUUUUGACUCUUCCACCACUACCUUCCUUUCAACCCCAAUCACUGCCCACGCACACAGUCAAUUUGCAGAAUGAAGACACAGCUACACAGAAUGUGAUUGAAACGCGAAUAAAACCUUGAAUACGAAAAAAAAAAAAAAAGAGGUUGUGCACGUACAGCAGAGCCAGGAGGCCUGGGUGGAAGCCGUCCCCAAAUGCUUCCCCUGGAAGAGUCACAUCACCCCAAGGUCUGAUGACAGAAAGAAGUGUGACAAAGACUCUGAAGCCCAUGGAGAUUAUGAAGCGGUGUCCGUAUGUGAUUUUUACGGUAAUGGAGCUACUUCUCUGCUGCCGAGACUAUGGAGAAUCAAACUCUGCCCUCGGAUGCCAAAGGUAAGGCUGCCAAGCCCUGGCAAGGCAGAAAGAGUAGUUACAAGAAAAGCCUGGUGGUGGGGUCCACUCCUGUGUGCGUCUGUGGCAGAAGGUGGAGGGCACAUGGGUCAUGUGUGGGUGCUGCUUGAGUGGGGAGACCUUUUCCAUGGCACAAGGUUCUAGACGGGUUAGGAUUAGGUAGACUUGGUCAAAGCAGAAUCAUUGUUUGUUUGUUUUUAUCAGACCUAAUUUUAUUGAUUUAGUUAGUUGGGAGUUUUUUUGGGUUUUUAUUAGGACUAUUUUUUUUAGAGCAGCUUUAGGUUUACAGCAUUAUUGAGGGGACAGUACAGAGAUUUCCCAUAUACCCCUGCCCCCACUUAUGCAUAGCCCUCCAUGGGCAACAUCUCCAGAGUGGUGCACUGGUACAACUGAUCAACCCACACUGACA